rnacentral:rRNA from 1 species
UGCGAAAUGCUCAUUAAAUCAGCUACGGUUCACUGGGUAAACCACAGUUACUUGGAUAACUGUGGUAAUUCUAGAGCUAAUACAUGCAAUUAUGCCCGCGCCUCACGGCAAGGGUGCUCUUAUUAGAUCAAAACCAACCUGGCUUCGGCUAGAAGUUUUGAUGACUCUGGAUAAUUGGGAGAUCGCAGGACUCAAUGUCGGCGACUCACCCUUCAAAAGUCUGCCCUAUCAACUAUAGAUGGUAUAUAACCUGUGUACCAUGGUGUUCACGGGUAACGGGGAAUCAGGGUUCGAUUCCGGAGAGGGAGCCUGAGAAACAGCUACCACAUCCAAGGAAGGCAGCAGGCGCGCAAAUUACCCACUCUCAAAACGAGGAGGUAGUGACAAAAAAUAACGAUGCGGGACUCAAUCGAGGCCCCGUAAUCGGAAUGAGUACAAUUUAAAUCCUUUAACGAGGAUCAAUUGGAGGGCAAGUCUGGUGCCAGCAGCCGCGGUAAUUCCAGCUCCAAUAGCGUAUAUUAAAGUUGUUGCAGUUAAAAAGCUCGUAGUUGGAUCUAAGGAUUUGAACUAACGGUUUGCCUUAUGGUGAUACUGUUGGAUCUGCCUAAAAAUGUCGUGGAGGCUAUUAGUGUUCUUAAUUGAGUGCUUUUAGUGCCCGACGCUAUUACUUUGAGAAAAUUAGAGUGCUUAAAGCAGGCAUAAUGCUUGUAUACUGUUGCAUGGAAUAAUAAAAUAUGAGUUUGCUUUUAUUUGUUGGUAUUCGGAAGUGAACUAAUGAUUGACGGGGACAGUCAGGGGCAUUUGUAUGGAGGGGCUAGAGGUGAAAUUCUGUGACCCUCUCCAGACAAUCUACUGCGAAAGCAUUUGCCAGGAAUGUUUUCAUUAAUCAAGAACGAAAGUCAGAGGUUCGAAGACGAUCAGAUACCGUCCUAGUUCUGACCAUAAAUGAUGCCAUCUAGCAAUUCCCGGAGUUUGCUAGUACGAACUUGGGAGCGGCCCCCGGGAAACCAAAGACUUUGGGUUCCGGGGGAAGUAUGGUUGCAAAGCUGAAACUUAAAGGAAUUGACGGAAGGGCACCACCAGGAGUGGAGCCUGCGGCUUAAUUUGACUCAACACGGGAAACCUCACCCGGCCCGGACACUGUUAUGAUUGACAGAUUAACAGCUCUUUCUUGAUUUAGUGGUUGGUGGUGCAUGGCCGUUCUUAGUUGGUGGAGUGAUUUGUCUGGUUAAUUCCGAUAACGAACGAGACUCUAACCUGCUAAAUAGUAUGUUUAUAUUAUAAAGUGAACAAUGACUUCUUAGAGGGACUAAUGGCGUUUAGUCAUGUGAGAAAGAGCAAUAACAGGUCUGUGAUGCCCUUAGAUGUUCGGGGCCGCACGCGCGCUACACUAACUGAAGCAACGGGUAUCAUCCUGGUUAGAAAUGACUGGGUAACCCGCUUAAAUCUCAGUUGUGACUGGGAUCGAGGUUUGCAAUUAUCUCUCGUGAACGAGGAAUUCCGAGUAAGCGCAAGUCAUUAGCUUGCGCUGAUUACGUCCCUGCCCUUUGUACACACCGCCCGUCGCUACUACCGAUUGAACGGUUUAGUGAGAAUUUUGGAUUGGCUUCGUUGAGGCGGCCCUUCACGGGGCUGCUUCGGCUGGGCUGAGAAGAUGUUCAAACUUGAUCGUUUAGAGGAAGUAAAAGUCGAAACAAGA